rnacentral:lncRNA from 1 species
UCAAUUUGCAUAGAGAAGAAGCCCUUUGGCCAAAAAUCAUAAUGACAACCUCCUCCUUGUCGUCGUUCAUGGUGGAUUUGCGAGACGGAGCUAGUCGCUAGAGUUUAUGGAGGGGAAAUGAUCAUCAGGUGAUGGAGAGUCGAUCGAAGGCCUCUUUGAAGGCUAUCUUUGCCGAUAAUGGUAGGAAUCUGCCGCUAGUGUACUGAACACCUUACUCGCAAUUUCUCUUGAUUUAGGCCUUUAUCAUGCUAAUAGUGGCCACAAGCAUGUUCGUCUCAUCGAACUCUUAAGUUUAGAACCUUCACUCGCUCGAAACAAUGGUCGUUUGGCCAGAAAACAGAAAGGAGAGGGGAAGGGGAUCCGUCGGCGAUGGAGAGGAGAGAAAGAAGUUUUGUUGGCUUUCUCUUUCCUCAUUGAUUGGCUUAAAACUGAU